rnacentral:rRNA from 1 species
UACGUAGGGGGCGAGCGUUGUCCGGAGUUACUGGGCGUAAAGGGCGCGUAGGCGGCGUGGUAAGUCACUUGUGAAAUCUCUGAGCUUAACUCAGAACGGCCAAGUGAUACUGCUGUGCUAGAGUGCAGAAGGGGCAAUCGGAAUUCUUGGUGUAGCGGUGAAAUGCGUAGAUAUCAAGAGGAACACCUGAGGUGAAGACGGGUUGCUGGGCUGACACUGACGCUGAUGCGCGAAAGCCAGGGGAGCAAACGGG